rnacentral:rRNA from 1 species
AUUGAACGCUGGCGGCAGGCCUAACACAUGCAAGUCGAACGAGUGGCGGACGGGUGUGUAGUGUCUGGGACACUGCCCGAUGGAGGGGGAAAACUACUGGAAACGGUAGCUAAUACCGCAUUACAUCGUAUGUGCCUAGAUGGGAUUAGCUAGGAGGGGGGGUAACGGCUCACCUAGGCGACGACCCCUAGCUGGUCUGAGAGGAUGACCAGCCACACUGGGACUGGGACACGGUCCAGACUCCUACGGGAGGCAGCAGUGGGGAAUAUUGCACAAUGGGCGCAAGCCUGAUGCAGCCAUGCCGCGUGUAUGAAGAAGGCCUUCGGGUUGUAAAGUACUUUCAGCGAGGAGGCGUUACUCGCAGAAGAAGCACCGGCUAACUCCGUGCCAGCAGCCGCGGUAAUAC